rnacentral:rRNA from 1 species
UGGGGAAUAUUGCACAAUGGGGGAAACCCUGAUGCAGCGACGCCGCGUGAGUGAAGAAGUAUUUCGGUAUGUAAAGCUCUAUCAGCAGGGAAGAAAACGACGGUACCUGACUAAGAAGCACCGGCUAAAUACGUGCCAGCAGCCGCGGUAAUACGUAUGGUGCAAGCGUUAUCCGGAUUUACUGGGUGUAAAGGGUGCGUAGGUGGUAUGGCAAGUCAGAAGUGAAAACACGGGGCUCAACCCCGUGACUGCUUUUGAAACUGUCAGACUAGAGUACAGGAGAGGCAAGCGGAAUUCCUAGUGUAGCGGUGAAAUGCGUAGAUAUUAGGAGGAACACCAGUGGCGAAGGCGGCUUGCUGGACUGUUACUGACACUGAGGCACGAAAGCGUGGGGAGCAAACAGGAUUAGAUACCCUGGUAGU